GCGAGUGUAGCUCAGUUGGUAGAGCAUCACGUUGCCAACGUGAUUGUCGCCGGUUCGAUCCCGGUCACUCGCUCCA
rnacentral:tRNA from 1 species